UCAGUUCCAUAGGCAUGGCCAUGGAGCUAGGCCACCGUCAUCGCCUCUCCGUGCCAUACCAACAUCGCAGGUCCGGGCUCAUGCAGAGAAACACAACCUACUCUACACAGCCAUCGCCACUGAUAUCACCCGAACGUAGAAAAAGUUGAAAGAAAUGGAUAACAAAGGAGGAAGAUUUUGCGUCGUAAGGGGUCCUCGGCUGUUGUCCUGUAUUUUCUAUCGAGCAGCGGUGCUGCCUUGCGCUUGCGUCCCGUCAGGCUUCGCUUUGUGGAAUGACUUGGCUUUCUUCAUGCCACAAUUCAAUUGGAUCUUGAAAUGGCCCGAGAUUCAUCGUAGCCUGAUCACCAGAAGAAACGCAGACUGCAGGAAAUCAUAUUUUCUGUCCAUUGUGCGAUACUUUUGUGGCAUUAAAACAUAUGUGCGUGUGAAACUCCUCUCGACAG